rnacentral:rRNA from 1 species
UGGGGAAUAUUGGACAAUGGGCGAAAGCCUGAUCCAGCCAUGCCGCGUGUGUGAAGAAGGUCUUCGGAUUGUAAAGCACUUUAAGUUGGGAGGAAGGGCAGUAAGCGAAUACCUUGCUGUUUUGACGUUACCGACAGAAUAAGCACCGGCUAACUCUGUGCCAGCAGCCGCGGUAAUACAGAGGGUGCAAGCGUUAAUCGGAAUUACUGGGCGUAAAGCGCGCGUAGGUGGUUCGUUAAGUUGAAUGUGAAAGCCCCGGGCUCAACCUGGGAACUGCAUCCAAAACUGGCGAGCUGGAGUAGGGCAGAGGGUGGUGGAAUUUCCUGUGGAGCGGUGAAAUGCGUAGAUAUAGGAAGGAACACCAGUGGCGAAGGCGACCACCUGGGCUCAUACUGACACUGAGGUGCGAAAGCGUGGGGAGCAAACAGG